UACGAAGGGGGCUAGCGUUGCUCGGAUUUACUGGGCGUAAAGGGCGCGUAGGCGGAUAACCAAGUUGGGGGUGAAAUCCCGGGGCUUAACCUCGGAACUGCCUCCAAAACUGGUUGUCUUGAGUUUGGGAGAGGUGUGUGGAACUCCGAGUGUAGAGGUGAAAUUCGUAGAUAUUCGGAAGAACACCAGUGGCGAAGGCGGCUACCUGGACCAGCACUGACACUGAGGCACGAAAGCGUGGGGAGCAAACAGG
rnacentral:rRNA from 1 species